rnacentral:rRNA from 1 species
CCUUGUACACACCGCCCGUCACACCAUGGGAGUGGGUUGCAAAGAAGUAGCUAGUCUAACCGCAAGGGGACGGGUUACCACUUUCGUGAUUCAUGACUGGGGUG